rnacentral:rRNA from 1 species
UAUACCCGUUAAGGCAUGAUGGCCUGUACCCGAAACCGACACAGGUGGGGUGGUAGAGAAUACCGAGGGGCGCGAGGUAACUCUCUCUAAGGAACUCGGCAAAAUGGCCCCGUAACUUCGGGAGAAGGGGUGCCACCGCGAGGUGGUCGCAGUGAAGAGGCCCAGGCGACUGUUUACCAAAAACACAGGUCUCCGCUAAGUCGCAAGACGAUGUAUGGGGGCUGACGCCUGCCCAGUGCCGGAAGGUUAAGGAAGCUGUCAGCGCAAGCGAAGCUGGCGACUGAAGCCCCGGUGAACGGCGGCCGUAACUAUAACGGUCCUAAGGUAGCGAAAUUCCUUGUCGGGUAAGUUCCGACCCGCACGAAAGGCGUAACGAUCUGGGCGCUGUCUCGGAGAGAGGCUCGGCGAAAUAGAAUUGUCUGUGAAGAUGCGGACUACGUGCACCCGGACAGAAAGACCCUAUGAAGCUUUACUGUAGCUUGGUAUUGUGCUCGGGCUCGGAAUGCGCAGGAUAGGUGGGAGGCUUUGAUCCAUUGCUUGCGGGUGAUGGUGAGCCACUGGUGAGAUACCACUCUUUCCGAGCUAGAGUUCUAACAGCAACCCGUUAUCCGGGUGCUGGACAGUAUCAGGUGGGCAGUUUGACUGGGGCGGUCGCCUCCUAAAAGGUAACGGAGGCGCGCAAAGGUCUGCUCAGGCUGGUUGGAAAUCAGCCGACGAGUGUAAAAGCAGAAGCAGGCUUGACUGUGAGACCUACAAGUCGAACAGGGAGGAAACUCGGCUUUAGUGAUCCGACGGUUCUGCGUGGAAGGGCCGUCGCUCAACGGAUAAAAGUUACUCUAGGAUAACAGGCUGAUCUCCCCCAAGAGUUCACAUCGACGGGGAGGUUUGGCACCUCGAUGUCGGCUCAUCGCAACCUGGGGCUGAAGUCGGUCCCAAGGGUUGGGCUGUUCGCCCAUUAAAGCGGUACGCGAGCUGGGUUCAGAACGUCGUGAGACAGUUCGGUCCAUAUCCGGUGCACGCGCAGGAAUAUUGAGAGGAUUUCUCCCUAGUACGAGAGGACCGGGAGGAACGCACCUCUGGUGUGCCAGUUAUCGUGCCAACGGUAAACGCUGGGUAGCCAUGUGCGGAGUGGAUAACCGCUGAAAGCAUCUAAGUGGGAAGCCCACCUCAAGAUGAGUAUUCCCAUGGCAUAAGCCAGUAAGGUCACGGGAAGAACACCCGUUGAUAGGCUCUACGUGGAAGCGCAGUAAUGUGUGAAGCGGAGGAGUACUAAUAGACCGAGGGCUU